UCCGGCUUAUCACCGGCAGUUUCCCUGGAGUUCUCAGCAUUACCUGGUAGCAACCAAGGAUGAGGGUUGCGCUCGUUGCGGGACUUAACCCAACAUCUCACGACACGAGCUGACGACAGCCAUGCAGCACCUGUGUUCCAGCCAGCCAAACUGAAGGAAGCCAUCUCUGGCGACCAAACUGGACAUGUCAAGGCCUGGUAAGGUUCUUCGCGUUGCCUCGAAUUAAACCACAUGCUCCACCGCUUGUGCGGGUCCCCGUCAAUUCCUUUGAGUUUUAAUCUUGCGACCGUACUCCCCAGGCGGAGUGCUUAAUGCGUUAGCGUCGCCACUGAAUCCUACGGACCCAACAGCUAGCACUCAUCGUUUACAGCGUGGACUAC
rnacentral:misc_RNA from 1 species